AAGACUAUACUUUCAGGGAUCAUUUCUAUAGUUUCUGACUUGAGAAAUGUGUUUCUAAAGUGAUUGGUCUCGCUAACCACGAUGAAGAGACGGUGAUACUCUUUCCUGAGCGCGAAGCUGGCAGAGAGUCUUGAUUCAGUUCUUAUGCUCUCUGCCUUUGAUGACCGUUCACUGCCUCCUCUGGGGGCUUUGAGGGAGAGAGUAUGUUCAGAGUGGC